UUGACGUAGAAAUGAAGAAAUGGCACGGGUUCUACGAAAUCGUAAUAGCAAAUUCGUAGAUUGAACCCUUUUUAGCG